rnacentral:rRNA from 1 species
GCUGUCGUCAGCUCGUGUUGUGAAAUGUUGGGUUAAGUCCCGCAACGAGCGCAACCCUUAUCCUUUGUUGCCAGCGGUCCGGCCGGGAACUCAAAGGAGACUGCCAGUGAUAAACUGGAGGAAGGUGGGGAUGACGUCAAGUCAUCAUGGCCCUUACGACCAGGGCUACACACGUGCUACAAUGGCGCAUACAAAGAGAAGCGACCUCGCGAGAGCAAGCGGACCUCAUAAAGUGCGUCGUAGUCCGGAUUGGAGUCUGCAACUCGACUCCAUGAAGUCGGAAUCGCUAGUAAUCGUGGAUCAGAAUGCCACGGUGAAUACGUUCCCGGGCCUUGUACACACCGCCCGUCACACCAUGGGAGUGGGUUGCAAAAGAAGUAGGUAGCUUAACCUUCGGGAGGGCGCUUACCACUUUGUGAUUCAUGACAGGGGUGAAGUCGUAACAAGGUAACCGUAGGGGAACCUGCGGCUGGAUCACCUC